AACGCACAUUGCGCCUCUUGGUAUUCCGAGGGGCAUGUCUGUUUGAGCGUCAGUACCCACUCUUUGUAGCAUUUUUGCUAGGAAGGUUUUGAGGCCGCAUCGAAAGGUGCGCUUCCAAGGUAGCACGCUUGCGACCCGAUACCGAUCACGACGUAGUAAACAUUCUCGUUGUACUUGAGGUGGAAGGGCGCCUGAUACAUCAAACUCUGUAGUUUGACCUCAGAUCAGACAAGGAUACCCGCUGAACUUAA
rnacentral:misc_RNA from 1 species